rnacentral:tRNA from 1 species
UCCCUGGCAGUCCAGUGGUUAGGAUUCAGGACUUUGACUGCUGUGGCCCAGUUUCAAUCCCUGGUUGGGGAA